GACGAACGCUGGCGGCGUGCUUAACACAUGCAAGUCGAACGGAAAGGCCCUGCUUUUGUGGGGUGCUCGAGUGGCGAACGGGUGAGUAACACAUGAGGAACCUGCCCUUGUCUGUGUGAUAACUUCAGGAAACUGGGGAUAAUACCGGAUAGGAUAUCUUGCUGCAUGGUGGGGGUUGGAAAGAUUCGGUUGUUCGGGCUGGACUCGCUGCUUAUCCGCUAGUUUGUGGGGUAGUGGCUUACCAAGGCUGUGACGGGUAGCCGGCCUGGGAGCGUGACCGGCGACAAUAGGACUGCGAUACGGCGCAGACUGCUAUGUGACGCAGUAGUGGGGAAUAUUGCACAAUAGGCGGAAGCCUGAUGCAGCAAUCUUGCGUGCGGGAAGACGUCUUUUGGGUUGUAAACAGCUUUCUACGUUAAUGAAGACGUCGUGACGGUAAUGAGUAAAGAAGCACCGGCUAACUACGUG
rnacentral:rRNA from 1 species